GUCCACGCGGUAAACGAUGAAUGCUAGGUGUCGGGAGCAAAGCUCUUCGGUGCCGCCGCAAACGCAUUAAGCAUUCCACCUGGGGAGUACGUUCGCAAGAAUGAAACUCAAAGGAAUUGACGGGGCCCGCACAAGCGGUGGAGCAUGUGGUUUAAUUCGAAGCAACGCGAAGAACCUUACCAGGUCUUGACAUCCUUCUGACCACUCCGUAAUGGGAGUCUUCCUUCGGGACAGAAGAGACAGGUGGUGCAUGGUUGUCGU
rnacentral:rRNA from 1 species